UACGUAGGGACCGAGCGUUGUCCGGAAUCAUUGGGCGUAAAGAGCGUGUGAGGCGGCCAAUUAAGUCCUGCGUGAAAUCUCGGGGCUCAACCCGAGCGGUCGUGGAACUGGUUGGCUAGAGUGACGGGAGAGGAGAGUGGAAUUCCGUGGUGUAGCGGUGAAAUGCGCAGAUAUCAGGAAGAACACCCGUGGCGAAGGCGGCUCUCUGGAACGCAACUGACGCUGAGACGCGAAAGCGUGGGGAGCAAACAGG
rnacentral:rRNA from 1 species